GAUGAACGCUGGCGGCGUGCCUAAUACAUGCAAGUCGAGCGAACGGACGCGAAGCUUGCUUUUCUGAUGUUAGCGGCGGACGGGUGAGUAACACGUGGAUAACCUACCUAUAAGACUGGUAUAACUUCGGGAAACCGGAGCUAAUACCGGAUAAUAUUUUGAACCGCAUGGUUCAAAAGUGAAAGACGGUCUUGCUGUCACUUAUAGAUGGAUCCGCGCUGCAUUAGCUAGUUGGUAAGGUAACGGCUUACCAAGGCAACGAGGCGUAGCCGACCUGAGAGGGUGAUAGGCCACACGGGAACUGAGACACGGUCAAGACGCCUGCGGGACGCAGCAGUAGGGUAUCUUCCGCAAUGGGCGAAAGCCUUGCGGAGCAACGCCGCGUGAGUGAUGAAGGUCUUCGGAUCGUGAUGAUCUGUUAUUGGGGAAGAACAGAUGUGUAAGUAACUGUGGACAUCGUGACGGUACCUAAUCAGAAAGCAACGGCUAACUACGUG
rnacentral:rRNA from 1 species